rnacentral:rRNA from 1 species
ACUCCUACGGGAGGCAGCAGUGGGGAAUAUUGCACAAUGGGCGCAAGCCUGAUGCAGCGACGCCGCGUGGGGGAUGAAGGCCUUCGGGUUGUAAACCCCUUUCAGCAGGGAAGAAGCGAAAGUGACGGUACCUGCAGAAGAAGCGCCGGCUAACUACGUGCCAGCAGCCGCGGUAAUACGUAGGGCGCAAGCGUUGUCCGGAAUUAUUGGGCGUAAAGAGCUCGUAGGCGGUUUGUCGCGUCUGCUGUGAAAGUCCGAGGCUCAACCUCGGAUCUGCAGUGGGUACGGGCAGACUAGAGUGUGGUAGGGGAGACUGGAAUUCCUGGUGUAGCGGUGGAAUGCGCAGAUAUCAGGAGGAACACCAAUGGCGAAGGCAGGUCUCUGGGCCACAACUGACGCUGAGGAGCGAAAGCAUGGGGAGCGAACAGGAUUAGAUACCCUGGUAGUCCAUGCCGUAAACGGUGGGCACUAGAUGUGGGGCUCUUUCCAUGAGUUCCGCGUCGCAGCUAACGCAUUAAGUGCCCCGCCUGGGGAGUACGGCCGCAAGGCUAAAACUCAAAGGAAUUGACGGGGGCCCGCACAAGCGGCGGAGCAUGCGGAUUAAUUCGAUGCAACGCGAAGAACCUUACCAAGGCUUGACAUAUACGGUCUAUCCCUAGAGAUAGGGAGUGCUUCGGCGCCGUAUACAGGUGGUGCAUGGUUGUCGUCAGCUCGUGUCGUGAGAUGUUGGGUUAAGUCCCGCAACGAGCGCAACCCUCGUUCUAUGUUGCCAGCGCGUAAUGGCGGGGACUCAUAGGAGACUGCCGGGGUCAACUCGGA